rnacentral:lncRNA from 1 species
AGUUAGUGAUGGCAAAAUUCGGGUCCGGGUCCGGGUCCGGGUCUGGGUUUAGCCUUCUCGGAUCCGGACUCGGAUGCCAUUUUCUCCUCCCGGAUCCGGAUUUUAACCCGAUUUUUUUCACUCGGGUCUAGGUUCAACCCGGAAAAUAAUGGGUUUCCGGAUUCCGGGUUUUAAACCCGAAUGAAUGAAUCAGUUUCUAAAAUUCUAAAAAUAAAAAAUUAAUACAUUUCUAAGUGUAACAACAAUUUAUUAAAGCAUAAACCAUUUCGAAUAUUUUAACUGUAACAACAAUAUUUCAAGCAUAAAUAAAAUCAAAUAACAAAGUACAAUGAAAUCAAAACGAAAGGAUAGCAACCUAGAUCGUUGUUUGGAGUUGCAAGAACCCGAGGCUGCGACGGUCGUGAACCCGAGAGUACGAGUUGCAACGGCGACGGUGGCGAACCCAAGCUUGUGACGGUGGCAAACCGCAAACCCGAGCUUGUGACGAUAGCGAACCACGAACCCUAGCUUGCGACGGUAAAAACCUGGAUCGUUGUUUGGAGCUGCAAGUAGCCAAGGUUGCGACGGUCAUGAAUGGUGAACCCAAGAGCACGAGCUGCGACGGACGACGGUGGCGAACCUAAGCUUAAGUUCUGUCGGUGGCGAAUCGCGAAGGCUGCAAGAAGUUAAGUAACCCAAUCUUCUGAGUUCUGUCGGCUGCCAUCGCGAAGGCUGCAACCUAGAUAAAAUUAGGGUUUUUUUUAUGUUUGUAUUUAUAUUAAUCAAUAAAAUUAAUUAAAAAAUAAUAUUAAAAUAAGAUAUCCGGGUCCGGGUUUCGAAUAUCCGGGUUAGCCUAAAUCCGGAAUCAAACCCGAAUAUAUCCGGGUUAUAAAAAUUCAUUUCGGAUCCGGGUUAUUUUAGACUCCGGUACGGGUUCAACCCGGCCCGGAUUAUUCGGGUUCAUCCGGGUCCGAGUAAAUCAGCCAUCCCUAUUCUCGGUAAUAUUAUAAAUCUAAAAGCCUUGCUUAAAUAACUUUGUUAUGGUGCUGAGAAACCUAAAUAUCUACUCAUAUCUAUAAGAGCACUAAUAAAAAUA